rnacentral:rRNA from 1 species
GGUGACCUCGAUGAGGUAGGAAUACCCGCUGAACUUAAGCAUAUCAAUACGAAAA